UGCGUAGGCGGGCUAAUAAGUCAGUGGUGAAAUCUUUCGGCUCAACCGAGAAACUGCCAUUGAUACUGUUAGUCUUGAGUUCGGUUGAGGUAGGCGGAAUGUGUAAUGUAGCGGUGAAAUGCUUAGAUAUUACACAGAACACCAAUUGCGUAGGCAGCUUACUAGACCGACACUGACGCUGAGGCACGAAAGCGUGGGGAGCGAACCGGAUUAGAUACCCGAGUAGUCC
rnacentral:rRNA from 1 species